CUGUCACAUUUUUUGGGUGCUAAAAAGUACAUUUGUGGCGUGCACUUCAUAUCUGAGAGUCAAAUAGAACCGUCAAAUACUGUGGUUACAUAGCACUUUGAAAAAUUCGAAUUUUUUUUUUUAUUAUUCUUUAUUUUUGGUUCGACACAUAUUACGGCAUGGCAGUAUUCAGUGGCUCGCGCAGGGGCCAAUAUUGAUUGAGACUAACAUUGCAUAAUACAGAAGAUAAGCGGUUUUACAAGUUAAUGCAAGGUUCUGUUACGCCGUGCAGUGUCACUGUAAAA